rnacentral:rRNA from 1 species
GAGUUUGAUCAUGGUUCAGAUUGAACGCUGGCGGCAUGCCUAACACAUGCAAGUCGAACGGUAACAGGUCUUCGGAUGCUGACGAGUGGCGGACGGGUGAGUAAUGCGUAGGAAUCUGUCUUUUAGUGGGGGACAACCCAGGGAAACUUGGGCUAAUACCGCAUGAGCCCUGAGGGGGAAAGCGGGGGAUCUUCGGACCUCGCGCUAAGAGAGGAGCCUACGUCCGAUUAGCUAGUUGGCGGGGUAAAGGCCCACCAAGGCGACGAUCGGUAGCUGGUCUGAGAGGACGACCAGCCACACUGGGACUGAGACACGGCCCAGACCCCUACGGGAGGCAGCAGUGGGGAAUUUUUCGCAAUGGGGGCAACCCUGACGAAGCAAUGCCGCGUGGAUGAAGAAGGCCUUCGGGUUGUAAAGUCCUUUCGUGGAGGACGAAAAGGUGGGUUCUAAUACAAUCUGCUAUUGACGUGAAUCCAAGAAGAAGCACCGGCUAACUCCGUGCCAGCAGCCGCGGUAAUACGGGGGGUGCAAGCGUUAAUCGGAAUCACUGGGCGUAAAGGGUGCGUAGGCGGUACGUUAGGUCUGUCGUGAAAUCCCCGGGCUCAACCUGGGAAUG